GAUGAACGCUAGCGGGAGGCCUAACACAUGCAAGCCGAGCGGUAUUGUUUCUUCGGAAAUGAGAGAGCGGCGUACGGGUGCGUAACACGUGUGCAACCUGCCUUUAUCUGGGGGAUAGCCUUUCGAAAGGAAGAUUAAUACUCCAUAAUAUAUUGAACGGCAUCGUUUAAUAUUGAAAGCUCCGGCGGAUAGAGAUGGGCACGCGCAAGAUUAGCUAGUUGGUGAGGUAACGGCUCACCAAGGCGAUGAUCUUUAGGGGGCCUGAGAGGGUGAUCCCCCACACUGGUACUGAGACACGGACCAGACUCCUACGGGAGGCAGCAGUGAGGAAUAUUGGUCAAUGGGGGCAAGCCUGAACCAGCCAUCCCGCGUGAAGGACGACUGCCCUAUGGGUUGUAAACUUCUUUUGUAUAGGGAUAAACCUACCCUCGAGAGGGUAGCUGAAGGUACUAUACGAAUAAGCACCGGCUAACUCCGUG
rnacentral:rRNA from 1 species